UACGUAGGUGGCAAGCGUUGUCCGGAAUCACUGGGCGUAAAGCGCGCGCAGGCGGCGAUCUACGUCUGGGGUGAAAGCCCGGAGCUCAACUCCGGGACUGCCUUGGAUACGGGAUCGCUUGAGGAUUGGAGAGGCAAGGGGAAUUCCACGUGUAGCGGUGAAAUGCGUAGAUAUCUGGAGGAACACCGGUGGCGAAGGCGGCGUUCUGGACUGCAACUGACACUGAUGAACGAAAGCCAGGGGAGCAAACGGG
rnacentral:rRNA from 1 species